ensembl:lncRNA
UGUGUUUUGAGUGUGUUGUGCUGUGUUCUGAGUGUGUUCUGAUGUGUUCUGUUGUGUUGUGCUGUGUUCUGAGUGUGUUCUGAUGUGUUCUGUUGUGUUGUGCUGUGUUCUGAGUGUGUCGUGCUGUGUUCUGUUGUGUUGUGCUGUGUUCUGAGUGUGUCGUGCUGUGUUGUGGGAUGGUGUAUUUUGUUUUGUUGAGUUGUGUUGAGGUAUGGCAUGCGUGUUUGGUGGUGUAAUGUGUUGUUGUGGUGUGUUGAGUUGUGGUGUGGUAGAGAAUGUGUGUGCUGUGGUGUGGUGUGUUGUGGUAGGGAAUCUGUGUGUUGUGUUGUGAUUAAGGUGUU